rnacentral:tRNA from 1 species
UAAACUUUAAGUUAUAAAAUUAAACUAAAGGCUUUCAAGGCCUUAAAAAAGAGCGCUUAAGUUUAA